UACGUAGGGGGCAAGCGUUGUCCGGAUUUAUUGGGCGUAAAGAGCGUGUAGGCGGUUAGGUAGGUCCGUUGUGAAAACUCGAGGCUCAACCUCGAGACGCCGAUGGAAACCAUCUAACUAGAGUCCGGAAGAGGAGAGUGGAAUUCCUGGUGUAGCGGUGAAAUGCGCAGAUAUCAGGAGGAACACCGGUGGCGAAGGCGGGUCUCUGGGCCGAUACUGACACUGAUGCGCGACAGCGUGGGGAGCAAACAGG
rnacentral:rRNA from 1 species